rnacentral:rRNA from 1 species
UGAGUGGAUCCUGAGUACGACGGAGCACGUGAAAUUCCGUCGGAAUCUGGGAGGACCAUCUCCUAAGGCUAAAUACUCUCUAGUGACCGAUAGUGAACCAGUACCGUGAGGGAAAGGUGAAAAGCACCCCGGAAGGGGAGUGAAAUAGAACCUGAAACCGUGUGCUUACAAGUAGUCAGAGCCCGUUAAUGGGUGAUGGCUUGCCUUUUGUAGAAUGAACCGGCGAGUUACGAUUUGAUGCAAGGUUAAGCAGUAAAUGUGGAGCCGUAGCGAAAGCGAGUCUGAAUAGGGCGUUUAGUAUUUGGUCGUAGACCCGAAACCAGGUGAUCUACCCUUGGUCAGGUUGAAGUUCAGGUAACACUGAAUGGAGGACCGAACCGACUUACGUUGAAAAGUGAGCGGAUGAACUGAGGGUAGCGGAGAAAUUCCAAUCGAACCUGGAGAUAGCUGGUUCUCUCCGAAAUAGCUUUAGGGCUAGCCUCAAGUGAUGAUUAUUGGAGGUAGAGCACUGUUUGGACGAGGGGCCCCUCUCGGGUUACCGAAUUCAGACAAACUCCGAAUGCCAAUUAAUUUAACUUGGGAGUCAGAACAUGGGUGAUAAGGUCCGUGUUCGAAAGGGAAACAGCCCAGACCACCAGCUAAGGUCCCAAAAUAUAUGUUAAGUGGAAAAGGAUGUGGCGUUGCCCAGACAACUAGGAUGUUGGCUUAGAAGCAGCCAUCAUUUAAAGAGUGCGUAAUAGCUCACUAGUCGAGUGACACUGCGCCGAAAAUGUACCGGGGCUAAACAUAUUACCGAAGCUGUGGAUUGUCCUUUGGACAAUGGUAGGAGAGCGUUCUAAGGGCGUUGAAGCAUGAUCGUAAGGACAUGUGGAGCGCUUAGAAGUGAGAAUGCCGGUGUGAGUAGCGAAAGACGGGUGAGAAUCCCGUCCACCGAUUGACUAAGGUUUCCAGAGGAAGGCUCGUCCGCUCUGGGUUAGUCGGGUCCUAAGCUGAGGCCGACAGGCGUAGGCGAUGGAUAACAGGUUGAUAUUCCUGUACCACCUAUA